GUUUGAGGAAAUACUGAAGUUUCCCGUCCUGAGUUACAAGAGGCAAGAGAGAUUCUGCAAAACAUUGUCUCUCGAAAGAUCUACAAGUUUGUUGGUGAGACAAAGCCAAAGAAGACCAUCAAGGAUUGGAAAAGCCGGAUUUCUGGCUGGAAAGAAGAAUUGGCUCAACCCCUCCCUGACGAGGAAGAAAACAACCUGAAACCAGAGGACUUUGAAAUCCUGGUCAUUAACAUGGACUACGGCAUGAAAGAUGAGAACCCUGUUGAACAUAUGCAUUUCUACAGCAAGAAGGAGCCUGACGUGGCAAUGCCAAUGUCCCCUGAAAAUGCAUCCAGGAUUAGAACAGAGAUCUUUUCUGAGCAGCUGAUCAGGGUCUUCUGUAAGAAGAUUGAUGAACAGAGUGUGGAGGCUGCCAGACAGCACUUUGAACAGUGGUUAAGGAUGGAGCCAAAUCUGCUUGGACCUGAGGGUAAUUAGAGCGAUCCUCCUGAAGUUGACACCAAGGAACUUACCAAACAACAUGAAUAACACUGAAUAAUAUUCGCAUUCAGACCUAGCACUCGUGUUUUUUCUCUCGCUUUUAUCAUAUACAUGCUGUAUCAUUCUUUUAAAUUGAUUGUUUAAAAAUCAGUUCCAACAACACACAACAUGUUUUUAUUCUGAGGACAAAGAUAAAUCAUAAUAUAUGAUACCACUCUGUACAAUUACGGGGCCUGCAGUCAAUAUGAAACAGUAUCAUUGGCCCAUUUAAUUCACUGUGUUACGCUUCUAUCGACUCACACAGAAAACCCAUUCAAAAUUUGAUACAGAAAAAAUUGGAUACUUUUUUUUAACAUUAAGGAAAAUAUAUAUCAGUUAUAAAGCCAUAUCUCAAAGAUCACUGGAUCUGGAUCGCUUCUGGAUUUGAAUUUCUGAUCUCUAAACUGAUACAUAGACACACAUGACACUGGAUACUUACACAGCUAGCAGCUGUAUGGCUGUUGAAUACCAUUUAGGUAAAAAAAGCCAUUAUUGAAAUCCAACAAUCAUUGUCUCAAACUGAAUAUAUAAACUGCAUGUUUCUGAAUUGAUUCAGCUUUUGGUCACAUUUAUGCUUCUUUGUAGGUUGUGAAUUCUUUUUGGUCGGGGAACGAUGUAAAGCACUCCCAACAUGUGUAAUGGAGUGAAUAUUUCACUUGUGGUUUUAUUUAGGGAUUUAUAAUACUCAGUGGUGUUUUAGUUUUGAUGUUAAUCGUUUGAAGAUUGAGGACAUGAGAUUAGAUUAUUUGUCUUUGAGUGGUGUUUAAUGAGAGAUGAUCAUGAGUGAUGUUUUGGUGACUGGUAUUAUCUUAUAUUAUAUUACUUUGUAUCUGCAGCAUUUAUUAUCACAAUACAAUUUUAACCUGUUUUAAAAUGAGUCUUAUUUUGGGCAUGUUUUAUAAUGUGCUCUUCUUUUGAGUUUAUGAUUCUUACUUUAAAAACUGGAACUUGUGAAAACCUUUAUUUGCAUCUAAAAACUUGAAAUUCGAAUUAAACAAUACAUUUUUAAAUGUAUCCAUCAACUACCUUUCUUCAAUGGAUGAUGAAUGUGUUUAAAUGUAUGACACACUUUAAGUGAAGCUAUAAUUGUUUGACGAUUGGUUCUUACAUAAUGCAUCUAUGAGAACCUUUCAAGUGUAUUCCUGUUGUGAUGGGUUCAUAUCUGAUAAAAUCUGCAUGUAUUCAAAAUAAACAUCAGAGAAAAUCCUGAGUUCAA